GACGAACGCUGGCGGCGUGCUUAACACAUGCAAGUCGAACGGAAAGGCCCUGCUUUUGUGGGGUGCUCGAGUGGCGAACGGGUGAGUAACACGUGAGUAACCUGCCCUUGACUUUGGGAUAACUUCAGGAAACUGGGGCUAAUACCGGAUAGGAGCUCCUGCUGCAUGGUGGGGGUUGGAAAGUUUCGGCGGUUGGGGAUGGACUCGCGGCGUAUCAGCUUGUUGGUGGGGUAGUGGCUUACCAAGGCUUUGACGGGUAGCCGGCCUGAGAGGGUGGCCGGACACAUUGGGACUGAGAUACGGCACAGACUAGUACGGGACGCAGCGGUGGGGAAUAGUGUACAAUGGGCGGAAGCCUGAUGCAGCAACGCCGCGUGCGGGAUGAGGGCCUGCGGGUUGGAAACCGCUUUCGUCUUUGACGAAGUGUGAGUGACGGUAAUGGGUAAAGAAGCACCGGCUAACUACGUG
rnacentral:rRNA from 1 species